rnacentral:rRNA from 1 species
UACGGGGGGGGCAAGCGUUGUUCGGAAUUACUGGGCGUAAAGGGCUCGUAGGCGGCCAACUAAGUCGGACGUGAAAUCCCUCGGCUUAACCGGGGAACUGCGUCUGAUACUGGAUGGCUUGAGAUUGGGAGAGGGAUGCGGAAUUCCAGGUGUAGCGGUGAAAUGCGUAGAUAUCUGGAAGAACACCGGUGGCGAAGGCGGCAUCCUGGACCAACACUGACACUGAGGAGCGAAAGCCAGGGGAGCAAACGGG